GGCAGUUUAUCUCUAAUGUCUGGGUCUGUCUAACAGCUCUUUUUCCUCACUUUUCCAGUCCUUUGCUCAGAUGAGACUGUACAUACGCGGGGCUAUAACCACGGCUAUCUUAAAAAAUACCCUUCAAGGGCCGGGGGCUCACACACCCUGGCAGGAGCAGAGAUUUACCUUCUCAGGACACCCUCAGCACGGGUGGGGAUCUUCUCUGCGGAGGGAAAAACAACCCCUCAGAUACAACACCCUGCAUCUGGCAAAACUCUGCAACUGUCCCAGGGCUUGGAAGAAGGGGCAGAAGUGGCUGCCCUUCCCCUUGGGAGCCCCAUCUCCAUCUCCAUCCCUAUCCCUUCCCCGGGCAGCUCUGCCUAGGCCAGCCCGGUGCGGAUGGGAGGCAGCAGGAGCACGGCUGCCCGACACACCUGGAGCUCCCCGCCCCACCGAAAUCCCUGCCAAGCCAGCCCGGCCGGCCUUGAAGGGUGCUGGACUGCGGCCCCAAACCCGGGGCUGGGCCUUUUAUACCGCUACACCUGUGCCGGGCUGCUGGCCCCGCCAGCCGGCCGCCCUCCUGCACCCCUGUGGUGCCCACGGGAGGCGUCUUCUCACGGCGUGCAAGAGCCCACACCCCCAGUGGGUGCCGUGUACACCUCAGCCCUUUCGGGAUGGAACUAAUGUUUUUCCGUCCAUACCGUGAACACAUUCUCUAAAUAGGAAUUAUACAGUGUUUUCCUUUAAACAUAACACCAGCCAAAUGCUCACUAGCUGAUAACUUGCAUCUCUGGGUGAGUAUAUUACUCCCUUUAUUUUUGCUGAAUCAUGAAUUUUUCCAAAGCUUAUUGUAUUUUAUGUCUUCUCUAGAUAAGCAGUUACAUAUGUGGCCCUGUGGAAGGCUGAAUCCGAUUCUUAAAUACACGACAGCUGACUGUACUUCCAAGAGGUUAUUUACUCUGGAAUCGACUUAAACCUCUGCGUUUGAGCCUCGUGGUUUCUCGGGGAAGGCAGGAGCAGAGUCGGUCCUUACUGACCCCGCAUGCCACCAGUUCCAGCUGCCCACACCUGGGCAGGGCGGCGUGGGGCACUAACCAGGACUCCUCAUUUGGGGCAAGGACUUCAUGGUGGGCGCACCGGCUCUCCUUUUCAUCGCCGUCCUUGCCCAGAUGCCACAGCCUGGCACUGCCACCUUGUGCCCCCAAAUCCACGCGCGGGUGUGCACGGAGCUGGAGACAAUGGGCCAGGCUCUCCCAUUGUCUCCGGGGCAAGAGGGACGGGGCCGAGCCCAGCACAAGCAGCCGGGGAGAUACCCGGGGAGAAGGAGGGAUGGUGGUGCCAAGCGGUCGGAGCGGAGCCGAGGGCACACGCCAAGGUUCCCACGCUCUGAAGACAAUUCGCGACGUCCCAGGAGCCAAAGUAUAUUUAGUCCAAUAAUGGCACAGAGAAAAGGGAGUGGUUUCGUAGCAACCUCUGCGACAUGCGGAAUAACGAGCGGCUAAACAAUAAAGGUUAGUCGCUAGUCAGGCAUGCCCCUUGGUCUUGUAGCACAGAUACCUAAAGGAAGAAAUUCCG
rnacentral:lncRNA from 1 species